GGCUCCAGUCUCUGGUCGUCCGCCUAAACUGACUAAAUGAGUUUUGUCAGCGGAGCUUGUCAGCGAAUGACUUUUUCAUCGCCGGAAUAUCGCUGAACGACCUCGCUGAACAAGAUAGACUCUGCCUUCUCUUCGUUGUGUCGGAGCCAUUCCUGUAUUUAGUCGCUAGUCAUCCUUCGAAAGUCCGCCAUGUUGUUUGUAGCAUCUUACGCAUGUGCAGUACUUGACCCCUGUGUUUCCGUCAGGUGACAAUCGACUGAUUCGUAUAUGAAUUUGGUUAAAAUUGAAAACAAUAUGGUAGACGUUACAGAAACUAAGUUACGAUGGAAGAAGUCUGAAAAAUAUCGCCGGAAACGACGUAAACAAUCACGGACGAAAGGAGAUCAAGAAAUUAAAGAGGAUCGUUACAGAAAUCUUAGGUUAAUGCAAACUGAACUUAGUGUGGAAGAGGUUUUUACAAAACUGGACUCUUAAGGCUUUCAAUGGACGAUGCUGGAAGUAUUUCAAACCACAAUGACAUCUGCAGCAUCCAGUUAGGAUUAAUUCAAGUCAUUUUAAAUUAAAUCUUAUCCCAUGUA